ACAUUAUUCCAACCAUUAGAGUUACUUGCUUGACAUGUGAGUAGACCUCCAUGCAAGUACUCUCGGUCGAUUAUGUUCAGUGAACUCAUUCCCUUAAUGAGCACCUACAUACCUAUCUUAGUGUCACUACACGAAUGGCAUGAGACUUUCCAUCCUUCCCAUUAGAAGGGGACAUAGUAUGUACUGGUCUAUGUAUUGUCAGUGUCCCUCCGACAAUCCUAUGACCAGGAACCGUUUUGGACAUCAUGGUUAUGUGAAGAAGGUCUCUGCAGUCUAACAUCAUCAAAUUACUUCUUCCAUCAAUCCAUUGUCCAUGGAUUCACUAUUUAGGACAUAUAUCGUUUAUUGAGAUAGUCCUAAUUAGUAUCUUUGCCUUUUGAUGUAUAAGAAUCAUCUAUACAUACAUUUAUUGUCCUGAAAGGUUUCUUCCAAAGAUUGAUUUUCAGGGCAUAUCUCCAACAAUCUCCCACUUGCACUAAAGUCAAUCACUAUUGUAUCUUAUAGAUGCUAGUCGAGUGAACUUACACUCAUAGGUAAACUUGGUUAUGUAUUAAUCCUUUUAAUUUAAAAGGGAUUUACUUAUUAAAUAUUUCUAAAACAUUUGAUGAUGUCUCUUUCUUGUGUUCAAAUACUUUGAUGAGACCUUGAUUCCAUGGCUUGAGCUAUCGCCCCAUUACAUCGUAGUGUCCUACUAACGACCUUAUGGUUUGGAUUCAAUCAUUGGUUCUAUAAGAACCUCUUCUAUUCAAAACACCUUUUGAAGCAGUUUCUAAAACUAUAUAUCAACAUAUAUUUCGUUUGUGUACUUAUACAUACUUUGCUCCAACAUUGAGAUCAUUGUAGUACAAUACUAACAAUACAUUCAUAUGAUUAGUACUUCAUCCAUUAUGAAGUUCCAUUCGUUAAAAUGGGUUAUUUUCACUGUGGUUUAUAACCUAAGUGAACGCACGCUUCCAGAGUCCGACUCUAAUGUUCCUUUCUUAAAGGCAAUAAUACUCUAUCAGUUGCUACGGUUCUGAUCCUGGGCUAUAGUAAUAUCUUAAAGUGACAACCCCAAUGGUUUUCACCUUUGGAUAUUGUCUCACAAGUCCAUACAUGUGUCCCUUUUGUGAUUUUGUGACAUAUUCAUUAUAACGGUCACAAAAGUGAUUUUCUAUCAUAUAAGAAAAUACUUUCUCAAAUCUUCAAUAUUUGAGAUUUAAUUUCCCCAUAUAACAUCCUUGAGAUAGCCUUACUACAUCAUUAAGUCCAAUUUCAAGUCUAUACUUCAAAAUUGACUGUGUCACGUUUUGUCAUUUUGAGUAACAUCUAUGUUUUAUCAAGUCUAUCAAAUAGACUUUAUUCAUAUCUUGUUGCUCAAAUUAUGACAUCACUCCCACUGGGCUUGUUGUAACUUAGCAUUCAUUCAAAAACUUAACACUUAUAUUUUCUUGAUUUGAAUGCAUAUUGCUCCCACUAACUUGUCUUGGAUCUAUUGACAAUCAUUGAGAUCCAUUAGCUUAUUGAUGAUGUCUCAACAAUUUUGGGACUAUCAACAACUCUAGCUAACACAAGUUAUUUAAACGAACAUACACAAAAGAAUUCCUUCUCAAGUAAUUCCAUUUGAAAUGUGUGACUUGCUUUAUCAAGUCCAUUCAUUUAAAUUAUAUGGUGUCAUACACCAUACUUCAAGUUUUAGUCAUACUAAGACUUUAAUGUAGUCAUAUAAGAAUUAUCCAAGUCAUUAGUGGAGGCAUGGCUCCUACUAAGGAUAUAGAAACUCAACCAUACCUUCCAGAUGGUUGGUAUAAUUCUUUAUCAAAACUACAUAGAGCGUUAUAGUUACAUGAGGUGCCGAAUUUGGAUUGUCUUGUUGUUAAACCAUAUGUUGUGACUCAUUUUGAAACUAUUCCCUUUUGUUUCAUCAAUUUGUCCAUAUGCUUUGUUAUUAGCUUGUUCUCAUAAAAGAGAAUGAUGGACAACUCCCAACAUAUAACCAUUUUAUGCUAGGUUGACGAAACAACAUUCAUAGACUAUUCUUUAGAAUGUUACACAACAUAGAAUUUCAAAGCUUCAAAGAGCUUGAGACCUUUUAACAAUUAAAAUUACAAGCUCAUUAAUAGUAGUAAAGUACUAUUAAUUUUUAGACAACUAUAAACCAAUCAUAUUCAAGUUUAUAUCCUUUUCUCACCUCCCACUGUUUCUCAUGACCUUAAUGAGAAAUUGCAUUAUAUAUUCAUAGUGUAUAAUUAUGAAGUAUACGGGUAGAGGACAUUGUGGAGUAGCUUAGAACCUUUUAAGCUUAUUAUUCCAACUCCACUAAGUUCAUGUCUUGUUAUUAAGUGACUAAAGUCUUUAAACCUUUUAUAGAUUUAGACACUUCAUCAUUGGUUUGAUCACUAACAUAUUUGACAUUUCUUAAAACAAUUCAAGAAUGUCCAAUUAGUUGUUCAAAACUACUAAUUGAACCAAGAGUGAUCUUGGUUAUUGUGGUUAAGUAAGUGAUAACCAUAUAAGAAACGUUUUUCUUAUGUAUUACUUAUGUCAUUAUAAUGUGAUCUUCCUUUUCUUCAAGAAAGGAAUCUCUAGAGUUUCUCAAUUCAUAUAGAACUUAUAUGUAGGCUAUUGGAACCAAAUCUAAAGAUUCAUUGUAUCCAUCUAUGGCCAACAUGUAAGAUCUAUCCUUAAUUGAUAAAUCCAAAGCUUGGAUAUCGCAUUAUAUAAGUGAUUCAUUUCUUGUAUUUCAACUUGAAUACAACAAGACAAUUUUUUCAAUUCAUAAUACUACUUUGAGGAACUAAUAUAGUAGAAGGCAUUCAUCACAUUACAUUGAUAUGAUAAUUCAAACAUUCAUAAUGUUUAAUACAAAAGGAAUUAGCUCUAUACAUUUAGAGACUAAUUAUAUACCUUCAUAUAGGCACCAAAAGUGGGUCUUCCAUCAUAUGAAGCCACAUAAUAAGUUCUUAGCAAAAUAAGAAAGUUUAAAGACUAUCUUUAAGUGCCUAACAAACUUCCUAAGUAGUUAACAAAAAAUUUGUGGCCGAACCCUUCUCCAUCCUUUUCCUUGCUUGUUCAUCUUCUACUUGGCUCCAUCACCUACAUACAAUUGCAUAAGUGAUUAGCAUUUUAUAUCAAAUAUAAAGAUUAGAAGAUCUAACAAUUAGAAUUGAAGAUAAGAACAUAAACCAUACCUUGUGGCUUGUCCUUAAGAGUUGCAAGGUAUAACUUGCAAUUCCUCUUCCAAUGCCCGUCCUUUCCACAGUGGUGGCAAGUCCCCUUGGGCUCCUUUGCCUUCUUUUUCUUCACUCCUCCUUGGGCCUUAGGAGUGGAUGACUUCUCCUUUCCUUUGCCUUUACCUUUCGGCUUGGCUUUGGAAGAGGAUGGCUUGUUGUAGGCUACUGCAGCAGUCCCUACAACGUUCUCUUUCUUCAUAGUCUUCUCAGCAGUUACUAACAUGUUUAGUAACUCAGAGAGAGUGUUAUCCAUCUUGUUCAUGUUGUAGUUCAUAAUGAACUGCGAGAACGAAUCAGAAAGAGAAGCCAAGAUGAAGUCCUGGGCCAAUUCCCCGUCAAGUGGAGUCCCUAGGUUCUCCAAUUGUUCAAUGAGUCCAAUCAUCUUCAGUACAUGUUGAUGCACUGAAGCUCCCUUGACCAUCUUGGUCUUCACAAGUUCACUGACAGUGCUAAAACAACGGUUGUGCGUCCCUUCACCAUAUAACUCCGUAAGAUUGAGUAUGAUGGAAUAUGCACUGUCCAUGCCCUCGUGCUGUCUCUGCAACUCCUCAUUCAUGGAAACCAACAAUUAGCACUUGGCUUAUGUAUCAUCCUCAACGUGCUUGUCAUACUUAGCACGUUCAUCCUCAGUGGCCUCAGGGCCAAGAGGUAUGUGAGGUAGAGCCUUGUCUAGUACGUAAACAAUCUUCUCCAAGGUUAGGAGAAUCUUGACAUUACGAUACCACGAUGGGAAAUUGUGCCCCUCUAGGCAAUGUUUGUCGACUAUUUUCGCGAGUGUACUUCCAACCAUAUCUAAAUACAUAAACAAUAAAAUAAAUUAGUUUGAUUGUUGAUUAAGUCAAACGAUUCGGGUCUUUAAACCGAAUGACACCACCCACGAUGAUACGAUGUCAGCUAGCAAAAAUAAUAAUGAGAGGGUACAAUUACCUAUUCACAACAACCUCUUGUGAUUACCCAUCUAGUUGGCCUCUAGAGAACAAUGCCUCACAAUGAUAUGAUGUUGGCACCAUUUCUCUUAGUUAAGUUUUGACCCACCAUGCCGGUUUAGAUGGGGCUUCAAGUAUGACCUCACGAUGAUACGAUGUUGGCCACACUCGUUGCCUACUUUCACCACAUCAAAUGUUGAAAUAGACUCCUCCUGAGUAGAAGCACGCACUUUGCACUCCCCCAUGAUAGGGUGAAGGCGGUGUACGAGUCAUAAACGAUUGGAGCCUACCAUGGUGGAAGGCCACGAAGAAGUGUUCAAAGCACCUCUCCGCUUUCAACUUAAUAUUGGAUGUUGGUUGAGGGAUUUUAGGGUCUCAUCAUUUUAUUUAUUUAAUCAUAUUAAAAUAAAUUGUGUCCUAUUAUAACUACUAGUCCAAAGUUAAUGAAAUUAGUAGCAUAUGAUAUCUCCACUAUUCGUUUUCAUAAAACAAAUUAAUAUCAAAACAUUUUUCAAAAUAUUGGAGAUAUAUAUAACUAUUAAUUGUGGUCAUUAUAGUUUAGUAGCGUAUGAUACUCCCACUAUUUGUUUUGAGAAAAAACAAAUCAAUAUCAAAAACGAAUUUUUCAAAUAUUGGAAGUAACUACUACUACUAUGGUUUUUGCAUUCCUUUGAAAUUGGACUUUAUAGUUAUCUUAGGCUCUUUGGAUGACCAUGGACUUAUUGGGUUAAUUCAAUCAACGAGCCAACAUUGUUGAAUAAGAUCUAGGGAAGGUUGUGUCGUUUUAAUUAUGUGCUUUCAAUCAAAUGAAAACAAUUUUCAUUGAGCCAUUAGAAAUGAAAGACAAUCAUUCAUUGCUAAUUAGGGCGUUGGACCCAAUUAAUCUUUAAUCUCAUGUCAAAAACCCUCUUUUAAUCAUGUCUCCUUACCAAUAGUUAAAGAAACUCUAGUCUAGUACUAGAGGGAAUCAACUAAUUGAAAGAGAUUAAGAAGUAAUAAGAAUUACAAACCGAUUUGUACAAAUUCCUACAAAUUACAUAUACUAAGAGGGAGAGAAAGAUUAAUGUCUAUCAUGACAAGGUCCAAUUGAAAUAGUAAUUAAAACACAUUCCCAAGGUUCAAACAAUUUGACUUUAGCGCCCUUUCUCAUAGCUCAAUUAUCGUUUAAGGCAUAAGUCCAUAGUCAACCAUUUUCUAACUACUUGAUCACAUUAAAUAAUUAAAUGGAAUGCACCAUAAUCAAUUAGACUUAGUACAUAUGGGCAUAAUUGUAUGAUGAGUUUGAACAACUAACAAAAUUAAAAUCAAAAUAUUUUAACUUUUUAGAGAGAUGGGGCCUAAUAUGCAAAUAUGAAAAGUUAGGGGUCAAACCACAAAUACUAGAAAGUAUAAUCAACUUUUAAAAUUGCAAAAUAGCCCAUAGAGGGCCCAUCAUAUAGGGUGGCCGGUUAUAUGAUGGGGGGAGAGGGAGGUGUCAUACAUGUCCCCUAAAUUUCAAAAUAAAGCAAAGGCCUAGCUAUGUCAAGUCACCACUUGUGCAAGUUGGCUUAAAUAGGUAAGAGGUGUGUAAGGAGUCCUAGUCAAGUCUAGGAUGGAGUCAAUCAAACGGAAAGCUAUUGAUGGCAAAUAUAUCACCCAAAUUCAAAAACAAAGGAUGAAUACAAUAACAUAACCUUUUAUGCCAAAACCAAAACCAUGAACACCAAGAACAAAACCAUGAAAACAAUUUCAAGAUUUGCACUUUCUUGGUGACUUUUUCAAACCGAAAAACAAAAGUGACAAGGCCUUUACUUUCUAGCUUUAAAGUGUGUGUGUGUGACUAAAAUAAAACACAAACACAAGCCAAAAAAUCCCCCAAAACCGUGCCCUCCCCUAUGGUUCAUUAACCCCAAAUUUUGUUCAAAAACUCACUCUUCAUUCAUGCAUCCAAAACACUUUUUGCAUACAUAUCUUUUUCAACUCUUGAAACACAUUUUUCAACAUUUGAAAAACUAAAGAUAAACAUAUUUUGAAUGAAGAAAUAAUAUGUCAAACAUAAAAUUAAAACUCAUAUGCAUAAAAUCCAAAAGGACACAUCAAAUAUAAACCUUUGGCUCUUGAUACCACUUGAAGGGAAAUAAUGAGAUUUAUGUGGGAUUUCUAGUGACUAGCAUGCAUAUACAAUUCAAAAUUUAUAUACAUAAGCAACGGAAGCAUGUUAUCACAUAAUAUCAAAGCUAUAGUCAUGCAAAUCCCCUUCAAGAAGCAUAGGUCCAUAUUUGUUGCAUCUAAGAAAUUAUUGAAGAACAAAGUGAAGGUAUAGUUUUAUACCUCUUGAUCUAGACUUGAGACCAAUGAUGGACCACCUCCAAGCUCUUUGUUCUUGGAACUCCUUGAGCCUAGCUUCCAUCCUUGCUUCCUCCACCUUGCUAGAGUAAGUGCUCCUUAGUUCUCCUUUAGUCUCCAAGGUUGAAGACCUCUAAAGAUCCACACCCACUAGUGUAGUGAGAUGGAUAAGGGAAUAACCAAAAGGAAAGAAGAUGAUUAGCUACUCUUUCCUUUGGUGGCCGGCCUUGUGUGUGUUUUAGAGAGAGAUAUGUUUUUAUUCUUUUGUGAAAAAUGAGCACACAAAACCCUAAUGAAACUUUUCACUAAAAGUCCUUUAUAAAUGUCUAAGAAAUGAAUCAACAACUUGACUCUCUCUCUCUCUCUCUCUUCAAUGGCCGGCCCCUUUUGUGUUGUUUGGGCUUUGGGCUUUUAUCAUUUCAAGUCAUCCUAUGCUUAAAUAAAAGCCCAAUGGGUUUGGGCUUAAUGGGCCCAUAUUAACCCGAACUUUUCUUUAAGUCCAAAAACGAUCUUUCAUCGCUUCUAUGAUUUCUUUAGACUUUCUAAUUAAUCAUAACACUUAAUUAAUCCAAUUAAUUUAUUCCAUCAUCCUUUAGUUGUCUCACUACAAGAGUGUAUCGGUGUAAAAUCAUUUUAGGUUCUAAUUAGCAAGGCAGUGAGGUGAUUGGCACCAAUCCAAUUGAUUAUAUUUAAUCCAAUCACUUAGUGAAUGAAAACUUACUUUUAAUUCUCCUUCUUCUUUGACGACUACUUAUUUAAUCAUCUAGAAGAAUUCACAAGCCAUGAGUGACAUCUAACCAUAUAUCAUGGCUACCCAAGCUAAUCUAGAAUUUGUUCGGAUAACCUAUUCAGUUGGAAUUACAAUGUAAUUCGAUCAUUCUCUAAAACAAUACUCACAAUCAUAUUACUAGGGUAUGGAUAUUUAAUGUCAAACCCCUAAUAUGAUUAUUCCAUGUUAUAUGAUUCAAUUGAGUAGUAUAGAAACGCUUUCCUUCAUUACGCUCAAUACUUCGGCCGAAGAUUCCCGAAUCAUAUCUUAGAGUAUUCAUCCUCUCAUAACGAGGAUUAGAGAUCCCUUGUUGAUCAUUCACAUGCCUCUGAGAAUAAAUCACUGACCCCAACAAUGCAUAGAACACACCCAAGAUGAGGUGUGGUCACGUCUCAUUAUCAAAAUGAUCAGCAACGUAUCCCCAAGACAACUAUGAUGUCUCAGGUCAAAGGAUUACUUACGUUAUUCCAACCAUUAGAGUUACUUGCUUGACAUAUGAGUAGACCUCCAUGCAAGUACUCUCGUUCGAUUAUGUUCAGUGAACUCAUUCCCUUAAUGAGCACCUACAUACCUGUCUUAGUGUCACUACACGAAUGGCAUGAGACUUUCCAUCCUUCCCAUUAGAAGGGGACAUAGUAUGUACUGGUCUAUGUAUUGUCAGUGUCCCUCCGACAAUCCUAUGACCAGGAACCUUUUUGGACAUCAUGGUUAUGUGAAGAAGGUCUCUGCAGUCUAACAUCAUUAGAUUACUUUUUCCAUCGAUCCAUUGUCCAUGGAUUCACUAUUUAGGACAUAUAUCGUUUAUUGAGAUAGUCCUAAUUAGUAUAUUUGCCUUUUGAUGUAUAAGAAUCAUCUAUACACACAUUCAUUGUCCUGAAAGGUUUCUUCCAAAGAUUGACUUUCAAGGCAUAUCUCCAACAG
rnacentral:lncRNA from 1 species